GUUUAAUACUUUUUAUGGAAAAGUUUGAUCUUACUGAUAUAUGGAGAGAGGUUUCCAGCCGACAGAUCAUUCACUUGGAGAAACAAAACAGGUUCCAGACAAUCCAGAAUAGAUUUUUGGCUUAUAUCCAAAUGUAUUGAUAGUGAGUGUGUUACUACAAAUAUUUGUACUACUCCACUCACAGACCAUAGGGCCAUUUACAUUGAUAUCAAAAUAUUUACCCCUGACACUAACCUUGGUAGAGCAUCCUACUGGAAGCUAAAUAGCUCAUUAUUAAAUAAUGAUAUAGUUAAAUUUGAGGUUAAAGAUCUGCUCUCAGACUUUUGGGAAAGGGCUUGUGAAGAAAAAUCUUAUUGCAAGAAUAAUAUAUAUAGAUUAAAUAAAGUGGAUAAUACAUAUAGAUUAAAUAAACUGGAUAAUAUAUAUAGAUUAAAAUCAGAAGGAACCUUUAUUAGAUCUAGGAAAAAAUGGAUUGAGGAGGGAGAACAGAAUUCAUCCUAUUUCUUUAGACUUGAGAUAUUUCACUCUACAAAUAACACUAUCCAUAAGUUAAACAUUGAUGGUGUUAUUACAGGUGACCAAAAAUGUAUCGCUAAAUACUGUAGCAAUUUUUACAGAAAAUUGUAUAGCUCUACGUACUGUCAGGAAUCCACAGAUAUGUUUUUUAACUCACUGAAUAAUGUUCACUCUAUCAGUGAUAUAGAAUCUAAACAGUGUGAUGAACCCAUCAAAGUUGAAGAGAUUAUAGAGUCUAUCAAACAUCUAAAGAGCAAUAAAUCACCAGGUGUUGAUGGAAUUACUUCAGAAUUUUACAAAUGAUUUUCUGAACAAGUAGCUCCCUUCCUAUUUGAAGUCUUUUUAGAGAGUAAUAAAAACAAUUUUCUCCCUCCAACAAUGAGUCAUGGGUUAAUAACACUGAUACCUUAGCCUAAAAAAGAAGAGCUGCUCAUCGAUAACUGGCGUCCAAUUUGCCUUCUUAAUAAUGACUAUAAAAUAUCAGCACUCUCCAAGGUGCUAAUUAAGUCAAAGUAUUUUAGACGUCACUGCAGUAUGCCUACAUACUUGAGUAUAGCGGGGCUUACACAAGUCCGAAUUUCAUGUAGCCUAAUUUUCUAGACAUCAAUGUACAACAACAUUUUUAGAAGACAUUGCAGAACACCCGCAGUGGGGCUUACAAGACCCGAAUUUCAUAUAAUUUUCAAGACAUCAAUGUAGCAAUAGAACAUAUAGCGCAAUGUCAGAAUAUAACUUCAAAUGAAAUAAAUCAAUGUAGGCUACAGCAGAACACACAUAUGCGAAUAUAUAGGCCUGCCUAUGUGAUAAUAUGAAGCACAUAUUCAGAUUACAAGUUAAAGGGAAAAAAAUGUCCUGCCUUAGUUUUCAAAACCACCCACAAUUACUCUCCCCAUGUCAAGUCCAUUUAACUUCUGAGAGUCAACUUGUUGCUCAAAGCCAUGAGCGGACAUGUGGCUGUGAUGUUUAGCCUCCUUCUAAGGCUGUUCUGAAGACUUUGGCUGUAGUUUCUAUUUUCUUCUUCUUUGUCUUGAGUGUUAACCUGGGUGUCUUCUUUAGCCUUGUCUACAAGGCUUGCUGCCACAAAAUGCGCCUUGGUUCAGGCAUGUUCAAAAAUCUUUUUACUGUUGUUGGGUUUUUUUUACAUCUGAUGCGUAGGAUGUUCAUUUACUGUACAUUCCACCCACUCUUUUGCUAGUUUAAUCCCUCCAGGUGUUUCUAGACCCAAGCGCCAUACCUUUUUGCAUGUUGUACAGCCCAACUUUGAAUUCUGCAUGACAAGCCAGGGGUUAUACUUUUGCUGUGUCGGUGGAUGCGCUGCACCCCUCCCCCCAGCUCCCCGUCUCCCUCUCCCGCUGAGUCUGACUCGCUAGCAGGCCUACUAGCUAGUGGAGGUGCCAGUGGUCAUGCUGAACUGGCGGGAUUAGCAUCGCUAUCAGGAACAGUUUGCCCCUCACUCUGCUCCUCCGGCACGGACAGUUCUCUGGCUCGUUCUGGAUUCAAUUCACCAUCUUGCUCUGGAUUUUUGACUUGAAAAAUGUCAAACUCGAUUGUCUUUUCUUAUACAUUUUUUAUUUGGCUUUCCCACGCUUCAGAUUCAGUAGGGAGAUGACUUGAUUAGGCUACGUGACGUGAUUACGUAGGGACCUUAACGCUGAUCGCUUUUAUUAGAAUGUCAACAGUGCGAACAGUGAAAUAAUUAAUCAAUCAUGCUGCGAGAGGUCAAGUCAAAUCUGAGUGGUACCCGAUCUGAGCAAAUACGUGCCUGAACAAACAGUCAAAUCUGAGAUGUGCCGGAUCCUGUUCUGGCAGGAUCCAGCUCAAAUUAAGCACUGGUGCUAUCUAGUGGAAACCCUUCAGAUGGGAGAGUAAAGAUGGCGCCCACCCACAUACUGCGAUAUUGUCAACAGGGCUUAGCUUGGAUACCUGUGGUUUUUAUCGUCCUAGUCAUAUGUUGAUGAUAUUAGAGUUCGUGUGAAGAUAUGACAGAGCUGAGUGACUUGGUGUGUAGAGAGAAGAGGAGAGGUCCUAGAAGCGUGCAGAGCCUGAGAUGCCCCUGACAGGGUUGAGAGGAGGAUCUGAUGGUUCACGAUGUCCAAGGCAGCGGAUAGAUCUAGGAGGAUGAGAACAGAAGAGAGAUUCAGCUUUUGCAGUGCGGAGAACCUCUGUGGCACACGCAAACACACACACUCAGUUCAGAGUCAAUUUAGAAACUACUACAAAAUGCAACCCUUCGUAGACUUGUCCUGGAUGUUUUGACUGUUUUUUCUGCAAUGUGUGUCUGACUGUCACUGUGUGUGGCUCUUGCAGUCAUCUACAUGGUGUUCUUCCAGCUGUCCUUCAUCAUGUUUGUGUGGUCCUACUGGAACACCAUCUUAACCCGUCCUGCCAACCCCUCCAAAGAGGUACCUUUCCUUUAGAUAACUGCCCUGAAACAUCUACAAUGACGUGGUGAACAACUGUGUGGGAUUUUUCUGUUUCUUCAUUGCAGCCACGUACUGCAGUAUUUCAUCAAGUUCUGGACAGUGAGUAAUGGUUUCCCAUCUCCUCCAUCCCUCAGUCUGUUCACAUUCUGCCUCCCCUUGACCCCCCCCCCCUUUCUCUCUCCCUCUCACACAGACAUGAUUAUUGUCCUCUGGUCUGUCUGUUCAUUUCUACCAUGCCCUCCUGUCCCCCCUCCUUCCUCUCUGUUCAUUUCUAC
rnacentral:lncRNA from 1 species